UGCACAGAUCUCCCCUGACUCAUCUAUGUACACAAACUGGAAUGCUGUCCCUCCAGGGCUUGGUAGAUAGGAUGCUAAAAGAGGAAGAGAAAGAAUGGAGAAUUUCAGGUCAGAGUCUGGAGGAGAAACAUACGCUGGAAGAGGACACUGCAGUUCACUUCUGUGCCAACUGUAUAUCCUUCUGGAGCAAGAGCCCAGGCGAACGUGUAAUAGUCCUUCAUUGAUGCCCAUCCCGCCUGGAACAUGAAAGAAACAUCUGCUGGAAUUGAGAAGAAAAAUAUUUGUAAAAAUUCUGAUUUCGUGUCAAUGUCUGAUACUAAAUCUAGUUAAAUUGGUUUGCACUCUUUAUAAUGAAAAAUGCUGUUUAAUUAUGACUGCUC